UGAUCUAGCCAUGCCGCGUGAGUGAUGAAGGCCCUAGGGUCGUAAAGCUCUUUCGCCAGGGAUGAUAAUGACAGUACCUGGUAAAGAAACCCCGGCUAACUCCGUGCCAGCAGCCGCGGUAAUACGGAGGGGGUUAGCGUUGUUCGGAAUUACUGGGCGUAAAGCGCGCGUAGGCGGAUCAGAAAGUUGGGGGUGAAAUCCCGGGGCUCAACCCCGGAACUGCCUCCAAAACUCCUGGUCUUGAGUUCGAGAGAGGUGAGUGGAAUUCCGAGUGUAGAGGUGAAAUUCGUAGAUAUUCGGAGGAACACCAGUGGCGAAGGCGGCUCACUGGCUCGAUACUGACGCUGAGGUGCGAAAGUGUGGGGAGCAAACAGGAUUAGAUACCCUGGUAGUCCACACCGUAAACGAUGAAUGCCAGUCGUCGGGUAGCAUGCUAUUCGGUGACACACCUAACGGAUUAAGCAUUCCGCCUGGGGAGUACGGUCGCAAGAUUAAAACUCAAAGAAAAUUGACGG
rnacentral:rRNA from 1 species